rnacentral:rRNA from 1 species
CUGCCACCGAAUACAUUAGCAUGGGAUAAUGGAAUAGGACCCUGUCCUCCUAUUUUCAGUUGGUUUUGGCAGCGCGAGGACUAGGGUAAUGAUUAAUAGGGAUAGUUGGGGGCAUUAAUAUUUAAUUGUCAGAGGUGAAAUUCUUGGAUUUAUGAAAGAUUAACUUCUGCGAAAGCAUCUGCCAAGGAUGUUUUCAUUAAUCAAGAACGAAAGUUAGGGGAUCGAAGACGAUCAGAUACCGUCGUAGUCUUAACCAUAAACGAUGCCGACCAGCGAUUAGGAGACGUUGAAUACAAAACACCACCAUCGGUGCGGUCGUCCUUGGCGUCGGUCUUUCGGGGCCGGCGCGGGGGCGGCUUAGCCCGGUGGCACCGGUGAAUGACUCCCCUAGCAGCUUGUGAGAAAUCAUAAGUCU